CUUGGAUGGACAAGGAGCUGCUUAAUCCAACCUUUGUCAUGCAUAUGCUCAAUGUGCUCUUGAUGUAGUUCCAGUCAAUUAGGUUUGUUAGCGUUAGGCCUGAAACUCAAAUUGCAAAUUGAGAGACUAGUACAGACAUGAUUAUAGAAACAGAAAAAUAUAGGCCAGAAAUAGGAGAAAGUUUGUAACCCACAACAGAUAGAUCAGAAUAGGUUAGAGCUCAUAUCGAGUGGUGUAUUCUAAUAGAAGAACAGAGCUGCAGAAUUUAAAGAAAUUCUGACUACAAAUAUGGGAUUAUGGAGAAGUCCUAGUGGUGCUAGAAAGACUAAUAGUAGAACUAGGACAGCAAUAUUUGCCUGUAUUCUUUAAGAAUCAGAACUAGAGUUUAGAGGGAAGUAUAC